GAUGAACGCUGGCGGCGUGCCUAACACAUGCAAGUCGAACGAAGCACCUUACCUGAUUCUUCGGAUGAAAGUUUGGUGACUGAGUGGCGGACGGGUGAGUAACGCGUGGGUAACCUGCACUGUACAGGGGGAUAACAGCUGGAAACGGCUGCUAAUACCGCAUAAGCGCACGAGGAGACAUCUCCUUGUGUGAAAAACUCCGGUGGUACAGGAUGGGCCCGCGUCUGAUUAGCUGGUUGGCAGGGUAACGGCCUACCAAGGCAACGAUCAGUAGCCGGUCUGAGAGGAUGAACGGCCACAUUGGAACGGAGACACGGUCCAAACUCCUACGGGAGGCAGCAGUGGGGAAUAUUGCACAAUGGGGGAAAUCCUGAUGCAGCAACGCCGCGUGAGUGAAGAAGUAUUUCGGGAUGUAAAGCUCUAUCAGCAGGGAAGAUAAUGACGGUACCUGAAUAAGAAGCUCCGGCUAAAUACGUG
rnacentral:rRNA from 1 species